rnacentral:misc_RNA from 1 species
GAUGAAGAACGUAGUGAAAUGCGAUAAGUAGUGUGAAUUGCAGAAUUCAGUGAAUCAUCGAAUCUUUGAACGCACAUUGCGCCCCAUGGCAUUCCGUGGGGCAUACCUGUUCGAGCGUCAUUUCAACCUUCGGGCGGUCCUUUGGUCCGUCUGGAUUUGGGUGUCGUCUAAUGGCGUGCCUUAAGAGAAUUGGCGGUGUAGGUGCCGGCUUCGAGCGUAGCAGAUGCGAUUCGCUUUGGAAGCUGGCGUGCUCACCUUGCCAGAAAAGUCUCUGAAGAGCUGACCUCGGAUCAGGUAGGGAUACCCGCUGAACUUAAGCAUAUCCAAUAAGCGGAGGA